rfam:Enterococcus villorum ATCC 700913 genomic scaffold acvIF-supercont1.5, whole genome shotgun sequence.
AGAGUGUUAUGAUGUUGGAAGUUAACUCUUCCGAGUCUAGCUCAGCGCUACUCCUCAAAUCUAUCUGAUUUGGGG